AUGCUCACCUCAGCAGCACUUAUACUAAAAUUGGAACAAUGCAGAGAUUAGUAUGGCCCCUGCACAGGGAUAACUUACAAAUUCAUGAAGUUCCAUAAAAAAAG